CGCGGUCAUUCCUCAUGAGGACGUAGUCGUGGCUAAGCGCGAUAAUCGCCGCGGCGGCUGAGCAGUGGCCAGAGAUGGCGGCGAUAGUCGGCAUCGGAAGGGAAAUCAGAUCGGCGACGAGUGAUCUAAGCUUUGAAGACAUGAGCUUGGACCGAUCGAGGAAGACGCCGGAAGCGGAGGCCCACGCGAGAUCGUAGCCAUUGGAGAAGAACUUGCCCUCGGCGGUCGUGAUGAGAGCAAAUGACAUUGAACUCUCGGCUCUUACUCGGCUUAGAGCGGCUGAAAUGGCAUCGAGUAGGGUGGGAUUUAGCCGGUGCUCGCCGGGGCCGGUGAGCGUGAGGAUGAAGAUGUUGCCGCGCUUCUCCAAACUGCACAUCGCUCUCCCUCACUGAUGCUCGAAGAGUAAAGCCAUAGAGAGCCUCUUCUUCAUUUCAAGGAUGGAAAUCCUACCUCGUAAAGUCCGAUAAACUUAACUUAUUUCAAUCAAUAUCAAGAUAAAAGUUAAAAGUUAAAAGAAAUAAAAUAACAAAUAUAUUUUUAAUAAAUUAUUUUUAUAAAUAUUAUAUAAAAAAAAUUAUUAAUAUUUUCAAUUGUUACUCAAAAUGUUUUUUAAAAAGUAAUUUUAAAAUAUUUGUAUUUUUUCAAAAAUAACAUAAUUUUUAAAUAAACCAUUAAAAAAUAGAGGAUGAAAAUCCUAGUAAAGUCUGAUAAACUUAACUUAUUUGAAUCAAUAUCAAGAUAAAAGUUAAAAGUUAAAAGAAAUAAAAUAACAAAUAUAUUUUUAAUAAAUCAUUUUUAUAAAUAUUAUAUAAAAAAAAAAUUAUUAAUAUUUUCAAUUGUUACUCAAAAUGUUUUUUAAAAAAUAAUUUUAAAAUAUUUGUAUUUUUUCAAAAAUAGCAUAUUUUUAAAAUAAACCAUUAAAAAAUAGAGGAUGGAAAUCCUACCUUGUAAAGUCCGAUAAACUUAACUUAUUUGAAUCAAUAUCAAGAUAAAAGUUAAAAGUUAAAAGAAAUAAAAUAACAAAUAUAUUUUUAAUAAAUUAUUUUUAUAAAUAUUAUAUAAAAAAAAUUAUUAAUAUUUUCAAUUGUUACUCAAAAUGUUUUUUAAAAAAUAAUUUUAAAAUAUUUGUAUUUUUUCAAAAAUAGCAUAUUUUUAAAAUAAACCAUUAAAAAAUAGAGGAUGGAAAUCCUACCUUGUAAAGUCCGAUAAACUUAACUUAUUUGAAUCAAUAUCAAGAUAAAAGUUAAAAGUUAAAAGAAAUAAAAUAACAAAUAUAUUUUUAAUAAAUUAUUUUUAUAAAUAUUAUAUAUAAAAAAUUAUUAAUAUUUUCAAUUGUUACUCAAAAUGUUUUUUAAAAAAUAAUUUUAAAAUAUUUGUAUUUUUUCAAAAAUAGCAUAUUUUUAAAAUAAACCAUUAAAAACUAUUUUUUAUUAAAAGUUAGUUCAACGUUUUCUGAGAGUUUCGAAAAUCAUUUUUUGUGCUUUACUCUUUUAAAGAAGAGUCUCAAAACUAUCAAAAUAACCUUAGUGGGCUGCUCAUUAGCUGAAAUGGGCCGAGUUGAGGACAAUGGCUUGAUUUGGGCUUCAACAUCCUGGACGUGGCUCUCAUGUUAAUUGUUCUUAAACCCAAAUCACAUAAUAUCUAACAUGGGAGAGAGAGAGAGAUGGGAGGAAGGGAGUCCUUACAGUUUGCAUGUGGUGACCUCACUCGAGCAUAUUGCUCCAUCGGGAUUGAUGACGACGUCGAACAUCCAGAUCAUAUUUCUUCUUUAUAAUGCACAUUGUUGUUUACGGUUAAUAUAUGCGUUGUUUGUUUUAUUGUUCCAUAUGUUUUUUUAAUCAAUCUCCAUUUUUUUUUUAUGAAAAAAUUUGGAAAUCUUCCGUGGAUAUUUCAACCACUAUCCAUGUUGUCAACAAUGAUAGUAUUCUUCAAUGGUCAUCAGUUCGAGUCCCCUCAGGGCCACUGAAGGUUUACCUGAUCAUUAACUUCAAGGUCCCAUGAGAUUAGUCGAGGUACACGUAAGUUGGUCUGGAUAUUCACAGUUAUAAAAUAAAAAAUGAUAGUGUUCUCCGCCAACUCCUCAGUUCUAACCAGGCUGUCCUCAUGGUCUCGUCCGCGCUAUCAUGUGCCCAGUCGAUGAUCCCAAAGCCAGCGCAUGUAUUUUCAAUUCCUUCAUCUUCAUGUGUCCUUUUUUAUUUUUUACUUUUGCAUGAAAUUUUGAAGUUACAACAAGAAAGCAUCCACCCAAAUUUAAGCCAUCUACACAUGCAUACACAUUGAGUUUCCAGAACUAGAAAAGUACACUGCAAUUUUUCAAUGGUUGUAGAGAAAUUAGUCUCUUCAUGUCACCAAUCUGAGGCAGGCAUACACAAUGUGAAUACAUGAUAAAAGCAUAAGUUUUAUCUUUUAGCACUACAAGCACCCGAACAUAAGUGAUUCCUAGUAAUAAGCAAGGCCCAAGAAGAAAGAAAGAAGGAAAAUUGUAUCUAAGAACAAGUGAGAAAUGGAACAGACAAAAGAACAUAAUCAUCACUAAGAGCACACUUUUCAAACAAGAACCGCAACGUGUAACUAUAACAAAGAUUUAAUUAACUGGCAUGCGCUAGAAUUCGUAGUUUUUACUCUGAGAUUUUCCCCUUUCGCCAUCUGUCCUUUCUAUUUUUACCAUUUUCAAAUAUUUGGAAGGUAAAUCGGAUAUUUAAUUAUCAAAGACAAUAUUUUUUUUUUUAAGACAAAAUCUACUUAUUGUUUAUUUUUCAAAUUUAUAUGAUUUUAGAAUUAAAGUUUUUAAAAUUAGGUUCCUGAAUAUAAAUUUAGGAUUUGUUUGAUAACUGGUUUUCAAAUUUGUUCUUUUUAUAUUUUGUAAAUCAAAAAUCUAUUUAAAAACUUAAAAUAUUUUUUAACAUUAUUCUAAUAUUUAAAAUAUAUUUUAAUUUUUUUUAUAUCUAAUAUUUUAUUUGUAAUCAUUCUUUUUUAUAAUUAUUUUUUAAAACAACCCUUAAAAAACAAAUAUAAACAAAAAACAAGUAAAAAUAAAGAAAAUAAUUCAAAAAUAUAUUUUUUAAACACUUUUGUUUUCUGUUAUUAAAAAUAUAAAACAGAAAACAAUUUUUUUGUUGUCAAAUAUAUUUUUAUUUAUUAUAAAUAAUAAUAAAAAUAUUUUUAAAAAAUAAUUACCAAACAUACUUUUGUUUUUUUUGUCUUUUCAUUAUCUCAUAUUGGCAUAAUUAAGUAUAAUUUCAAUUGUCCCGUUAGUGAUGCUUAAAGUUUAUAAUGCCACGAAUGAGUCUAAAAUUAAAGUAUGUUUGAAAGUAAUUGUUUAAAAUAUUUUUAUAUUUUUAGAAUUGAAAAAAAAAACAAAUUCAAAAAACAUGUUUAACAGAUAAAGACAAAUAUAUAUAUACAAUUUUUGUAUACUUAAUUUCAUUCACUCCUCUUACAAUUUUUCUUGGAUGUUUUAUUAAUUUGAAAUUUUGUUAUUUUUUAUUUGUUAUUUUUUCUAUUUUUUUUCAUCUAAUUCAAAAUAAUAGAGAUAUUUGAUCAGAUUUCAAGUAAAAAAAAAAAAAGUAUUUAACCAAAAAAACUAGGCGGAAUGGAGUGAAAUUAAUCUAAUUUUUCGUAAAAUCAUUCUAAAAACUAACUAGUUUUUAAACCAAUAUUUAAAUAUUUUUAAACAUUUUUUUAUUAAGAGCGAUGAUAAAAAAUACAAAGAAAUAUUGUAAAACUUGAGUGUUUAUUAAUUCAAUAAAUAAAAAAUCUAAAAAUUUAUUUAUUUUUCAAAUGAACAAAAUUUUAAUUUUGAAAAAUAAUUGAAAAUAAUUAAAAAAAAACAUUAUUGGUAAUUUUCAAAAGGGUUUCAAGCUUCCAAUGCAAAUUCCUUUUCUAUUUUAAACAAACAAACACUUGAUUGAAAAUCAAAGCAAAACAAAAAGGAAUCUUAGGUUAACUUUCUCCUCAUUUGACCAACAUACAUUUUUCUCCAAAGAGUGGAGGAGAGAAUAUUGGGAAUUUAUUAUAAUUCCAUUAAUUAAUGUGACAUUUAUUAUAAUUUACUUGGAAUUUAUUUUUUCUAUUGUGUCCUCCAUCGUCCCUUUUCAUUCCAAAUUAGACUUGUCUUUUCCUAAAAGUAUUCCUUUGAUCUUCAUGCUAACUAUACAUUGAAAAUUGAUGACAUUAAAAGCCAAAAAAUCCAAUCCAUAGAAUCCACUAAUUUGUAAAUAAUCAAGCAAUUUGUCAUUUCUAACCCUUGGCGCCAACAAAGUUACAGUUAAAAGGUAACUCCUUUUUAUCUUGUUGGAAUCAAACAAUGGAGGUUUGUCCAAAUUUCCCAUCUUACUUUUUAAUGUUCCUCUCCAAAUUUCAAAAGCAGCAGUGAUUCCCACCACUUUUUAUUUAUUUAUUUUAUUUUAUUUUAUGAUUUUCAAUAAUAUUAGUUUUGAAUGACAUUUUUUUUUCCAAUAUUUUGAAAAUAUUGAAAACAAAAACCUCAUCCGUACUCGAGGUUUGCUUUUCCUCCUAUGUUUAUUUUUAUUUAAUUUUAAAUAUAACUUAAAAUUGAAUAAUAAUUAACAGUGUUAAAUAGAAAAAAAUUGAUAUGUUAUUUUUUUAUUAAAAAAAUUAAAUAUUUUGAUAUUUUUUAUCCAAUAAAAAAUUUAUAAUAAAUCAUAAAAUAAAAUAUAAAAAUAAAUAAUUUAAAAUAAAAAUAAAUUAUUUUUAAUAAAAAAUAAACACCCUCUUAGCCUAAAGUUGGGAAAGAACAUAACAUAUUUUCUUAUUAAAUAUUAGUUCUUUUUAAUUAUUAUGAAAAAUGUUGGAAAUUGACCAAAAUAUCCAGGAGAAUUCUAUGAAGGAGGGAUUAUUUUGGACCAUGUGGUAGAUAGGACAGUGACAAUUCAUUUUAAUAGGUUUUAUUUAAUUUGUAUCAUUAUAGCUUGUAUACGUGUCAAUAUCCCAUUAGACAACAUGUGAAGGUAUAAUACCGAAAAGUUGCUUUUAGGUACCAUGGUUUGACCCAAAUAUUGAUGUUUCCAUUUUAUAAAAUUUUUUUGACAAACAUAAAAAAUAUAUAAAAAAAUAAAAAAUAAUAAUACAUGUUAAAGAGCAUUAUAUAUAUAAAUCAAAAUCUUACGAGUUUAAAUUUUUUAAAAAAUUGACGAUUUUAACAAAAAUCUCUUUGGAAAUUGCAUUUUUUAAUUACAAAAAAAAUAUCAAGUUUUAAAUAAUUUGCAUUUGAAUUUCCUUUCUUGAAAAAAUAAAGCCAAAAAUUCAGAACUAAAUCAAACCAAUCCUACAGCCAAAAUUAGAAUAAAAAUCCUUUAUACCAUAUAAUCCAAUAUAUGUUUUUGGGGAUUUUGAAUUUGCCUUAUUGAUAAUUAGAGUUUUCUUAAGGCCAAUAGAGUUUUUGUCCAUGGUUAUAGCCUAUAGCCGUGUGCGAGUGUGACUCACUUCUCCUACGGAUUCAUCACAUCCAAUCUUAUCAAACACAUCAGCUAACAUGCGCAUCCGUAUCUGAGCGUACACGUGUCCAUCCCAUUUCCUCCCAACCAACUCCUCUCCUAAUCGGAUGGCCGCCCUCACAGCCUCCUCCGUGCUAUCGUGCGCCGAGUCGAUAAUACCCCAAUUCAGAGCAUCAUGAGCCGUCAAUUUAGCGGCUCGAAGCAUGAGCUCGCGUUGAGACCUCGGCGCUCCGAUCUUGCUUCGAAUGAACGCUACGAACCAAUCGGGAAUCUUGAGCCCGAUGUCGAGCUCGGACAUGUAGAUAAAGCCGCGGUCAUUCCUCAUGAGGACGUAGUCGUGGCUAAGCGCGAGAAUCGCCGCGGCGGCUGAGCAGUGGCCAGAGAUGGCGGCGAUAGUCGGCAUCGGAAGGGAAAGCAGAUCGGCGACGAGUGAUCUGAGCUUUGAAGACAUGAGCUUGACCCGAUCGAGGAAGACGCCGCCGGAAGCGGAGGCCCACGCGAGAUCGUAGCCGUUGGAGAAGAACUUGCCCUCGGCGGUCGUGAUGAGAGCAGAUGACAUUGAACUCUCGGCUCUUACUCGGCUUAGGGCGGCUGAAAUGGCAUCGAGUAGGGUGGGAUUUAGCCGGUGCUCGCCGGGGC
rnacentral:lncRNA from 1 species